UACGUAGGUCGCAAGCGUUGUCCGGAUUUACUGGGCGUAAAGAGCGCGCAGGCGGCUGGCCAAGUCCGAUGUGAAAUCUCCCGGCUUAACCGGGAAACUGCAUCGGAAACUGGUCGGCUUGAAGGUGGGAGAGGGUAGCGGAAUUCCCGGUGUAGUGGUGAAAUGCGUAGAUAUCGGGAGGAACACCAGUGGCGAAGGCGGCUACCUGGCCCAUUCUUGACGCUGAGGCGCGAAAGCUAGGGGAGCGAACGGG
rnacentral:rRNA from 1 species